rnacentral:rRNA from 1 species
AGAGUUUGAUUAUGGCUCAGGAUGAACGCUAGCGAUAGGCCUAGCACAUGCAAGUCGAGGGGCAGCACAUGAAGUAGCAAUACAGAUGGUGGCGACCGGCGCACGGGUGAGUAACACGUAUGCAACCUACCUUCCACAGGAGAAUAACCCGUUGAAAAACGGACUAAUACUCCAUAAUACAGGGGUCCCGCAUGGGAAUAUUUGUUAAAGAUUUUUUCGGUAGAAGAUGGGCAUGCGUUCCAUUAGCUAGUUGGUUGAGGUAACGGCUCACCAAGGCAACGAUGGAUAGGGGAACUGAGAGGUUUAUCCCCCACACUGGUACUGAGACACGGACCAGACUCCUACGGGAGGCAGCAGUGAGGAAUAUUGGUCAAUGGAGGCAACUCUGAACCAGCCACGUCGCGUGAAGGAUGACGGCCCUACGGGUUGUAAACUUCUUUUAUACAGGAAUAAAGUGAGUCACGUGUGACUUUUUGCAUGUACUGUAUGAAUAAGGAUCGGCUAACUCCGUGCCAGCCGCGGC